UGAUUGCGGUAAUGAUCGCAUUAUUAUGAACAUCUAAGGGACUGAGUUCUUCUAUCCAUUGUGUUUUAGUUUUCUUUUUGUCUUGGUGGCUUUUACAUGAUAGAAAGAUUCAGGCUUUGAAUAUAUUUUAGAUGUGAAGCUUGUUGUGAAGUGUAAUUGCCUACAUUGAAUUUAGUUUCCCUCGCUAUCCUGUUCUUCAAUUUUCAAUGAUGUUUCUUAGGACGUCGGGGAACAAUAUGUUUUAUAUUGAUGUUUUGUUAUUUUGC
rnacentral:sRNA from 1 species